ensembl:lncRNA
CCUUUCUGUCUGGGAGCUUCCAUGUGGACCGAGAGAGGAGGAGAGAGGGAGGAAACAGAGGAUGCAGACAGCAACACAGAGGAGACACAGAGCGCAGGAGGAGGGAAAGUAACUGAUGGAGAGAAAGUGAGAGAGAGAGAGAGAGAGAGAUGGAGUGAGCAGCUCUGAACAACACUGAGAGCUCGGGAGGGAAGAUGCCAGACAAAAUAUGAAGAAAGACCUGAGUCUAUUAAAAAUGGCAAGAAAAACCGAACAUAGAUUCUGAAACGGGAGACGUUGAAGGUAAAUUCAGGAUGUCUGGGGAUUUUUAAAGUCGUCUAGUCUUCCGGAUGUUAAUCGUAGAUGCUGUGAUUCCCUUGGACGUUUGUCAGAUGGGAUUUCCUGCUCUCUUCUGGAACUAUCUGCAUGGUUUCUUGCCCUCCGACCUUUAAAGUUCUCCUGUUUUCCCUGUUACCCGAUCUUCAAGUCAUCAUUUUCAGUUGAAAGGGGACCAGUCUUCCAUUCUUGCAAAAACAACACCACCGUCAAGCAGCUUCAUCACUCAGCACAGAUAACAAGCCUGUACUAACUGGAUUCACGAGGUUCCAGAAACAAUCUGAGCUCGGGAUAAACAAGCCUGUGACAGAACUGGACCAGGCCAACAAAAGGGUGCAGGGGGAGUGGACCGGGACCCAGGCCGCGUGGGGCUUCCAGCGGUUCUUUCAGGUCCUGCAGGGAUGGAUGCAACGGCAGAAUAGAAAACAGGACGGGACGUUUCUGCUGUCCCACUGGUACAAUGCGUGGUGAGUAAUGAGAUUCAUCUCCACAUGUUCUUAAAGAGAUAGUCCACUCAAGAAUUACAAUCAUUUACUCAACCUAAAGCUUUCUUUCUUCUGUUGAACAGAAGUUUUCUGUCUAUACAUUGGAAGUAAAUGGGGUCCAGUUUGUUUUCACUGUAUAGGUACAAACUGUUCUUUUAAAUAGGUGUGUUCUAUGUAAGACAGAAUGAAAAGACUUUCAUUUUUGGGUGAACUAUCCCUUUAAUGAAUAAUAUUACUUUCUUCCUCUGAUAACUAAAGCCCUGUGGGAUCAAAGUUUGUAGGGUCAGGGGUUGUGCAUUGGUCACUCAGCUUCAGCGAUUGAUUAAGUGUUGCUAGAAAUGCAAAUGAUCAUUUUAAUCGUUAUAUCCAUUUCCAGAGAAUCUGACUCUUAUGAUGGGAUCUUGUGUAAUCUGCACUCAAAAUAUUAUAAAUAUCUAUGCCUAAAUUUAAGAUUUAUGUUUAUGAAUUGCGUAUAGAAUUUUCAUCCAUUUGGAUUACACAGUUUUAACAUAAACUAAUAACUUAAUAUGAUGCAUAUUUGUCAGUCAUACACAAAUGAAUAUGUAAGAAGCAAGAUUUCUACACACAAACAAGCACACCAUAAUUUAUAACUAUUUGC